CUUGGAGCCAGCUGACUAUGGACUGAAUCCUCUACAAACUACUAUGGAGACACAAGAAGCCUGCUUUUCAUCAAGAAUAUCGACUCUACGGGAGAAAUGAGACCAGCAAGACUGUUUGUCAUUGUUUCCCGAGGCAAACUGUCACAAGUGGAACUCUGUGGACAGUAUUUUCUCAUCUGAGAUACACAAGCCCAGCCAAGAUUACCACGCAAGAACAAGGGCAGGGGGAGCCCACUAGGAAAUACUAGGAGCCAACCACACUCGAAAACAGAAAUGGAAUACAGAGCUUGUGGAGGAUCCUGAACCUGUGUGAGACUCCAAGAAAACAUUCUACCAUCACCCAACACUGCCCGACUUCCGGAUCUCUCUGCAUACAGUUGUGAGAUGUUCUCC